CUUCUCGUCUCGCUGUGUUCCCUGUCGGAUCGGCUCGCUACUGCUGCUCCCAACUGCACGCAAGGCUUCAGUAUUAGCAUCGUUGCCACUGUUUUUAAUUAUUUUGGGGUCCCCUGUUUCCCUUCCUGAAGGAGCGGAUUUUGCGAAAUCUCUCCACCCCACUAGUCAUGGAACCGGAACGGACCAGCCCUUAAACCAUUGACACACACAUACAAUAAGAUAUCAAGCUGGAAUGCAUGGACAACUGCAAACCUUGCACAAUCCCAUACAAAAUACGGACUGGAUUUGAAGCCCAUGGAGAGCAACCUAAGGUGGACCUGUGCUGGAGCAGUGCACUCCUGAAGGAUAGACCCUGUGGUACGGAGCCAUCUUGGAGCAGUGCUUGGAGUGCUGCAGCCUGUGGAAAUCCUAUUUAGGAUCUAUUCAGGAAGAACAGCAUCUUAUGGGAGAAACCCCACACUGGAGCAGGGACAGAGUGAUCAUGAAGGAGAGGCAAAUGAGGAGGAGUUAUGGACUGACCAUAGCCUCCAUGCCCCAUUCCCCUCUGCCACUCAGAUAGAAUAGAGUGAAUGAGAGGGAAGGAGUUAUUUGUUUUUGCUUUUAGUUCUUGCUGGUCUAGUCUGUAACCAAUAAGCAAUAAAUCACAUUAAACUCCCAUAUGCUGACUCUGUUUUGCCAGUACCAAAAUCUAGUGUCUGAUCUACCUGUCCUUAUCUCAGCACAUGAAAAUUUUUAUGGAACAGGAGAGCAGCACAGUGGAGUUCAGCUAUCCACGUGUUAAACCACCACAGCCUCUGCAAGUUUCAUGUGCAAGAUAGAAGGAAAGACUACAGCCGUUUGACACUUCUCCAAGUGUUUCUGAAGCACUACACAAUAAGCAGACUUUUUUUUUUUUUUAGUCCUUAUGUUAAAUAAAAUCAGAAAAGAGUCAAAUAUUCAUAGGGCAAGGGAAGAGUUAAAGGAUACAAGUGGCAGAAUUUUUAUUGUUAUUAGUAAUAUUAUUAUUCCUUGAUAUAUAAAGAAAAUCAAUGUCACCAAGAUAAAAAGAUACUAGUGGUAAUUAUGUCAUUCAUUUUACAUAUCACAGUACUGAGUUUGAGUUUUCUUUUUUUUUUUUUUUUUUUUUGUUAGCUGCAAAAACUCUUGAAACAAACAAAACAAAACAAAAUAAAACAAAAAAUCAUAUUUUUUUGUGUAUCAAACCCCAGAAGUAUACAGUUCAUAAUCAUUUAUUGGAUUGAAAAAUAGAAUCUAGUUCUAUUUUCAUAGAAACAGAAUGCUUUCUUCACCAGCUGAAAUCUAAUUCUUAUAUGAGCCCUUUUCUCUCUCUCUCUCUCUCUCUCUCUCUCUCUUUUUUUUUAAACAAAAAAGAGUUUUAGAAGACAAAACUGAAAAUAUUUCCAUCAUAAUGAUAACAUUUAACAAAUACUGAACUACAGCUCAGCAGAUCAUGUUAUUAGCAGAAGAAAGAUGGGAUUAAAUACCUGAUUAUAACAAACCCCUAGGAUCAAGUUCCCCAAUUUAAAAGGAAUUUCUACAACGCGUAUCCAUUUAGUACUUUACUAUAUACAGCCCAAGAGGUUAUUUUUUGUUUGUUUGUUUGCUUAUUUAUUUAAUAAUUCAGUGAAAGUUCAGGAGGAAAAAUGGGAGAAAGAAAGAUAAACACUUUUUUUUCCCCCUCAUUAUUACUCUCUCAGAUUCUGUAUUAUUGUUUUCCCAGAUGGCCAGUAACUGGAAAACAAACAAAUAAAAGAAACCAACAGCAACAAUUAUCUAUCCACAGAGCCCGAAGUAGACAGAACUAUCUGGGCAGGAAGAAAUUCCCUUUUAAGAAAAGAAAUUCCCUGUACUGUUUGAAUCUCAAAACUGUCAAAGAACAGUUCAGUUGAAUAAUUUAUAGACUAAGCUGAGGAACAGCUCAUGAAGUGAAGACAAAUGAAUUUAUAAUACAGACAAUUUAUUUAACUUUUUUCUGUUGUAGUGCCUAUAUUGUAGGAGUACUACUACUAGUUGUGAUAAUAAUAAUAAUAAAAUCAGUCAAUUUCAUGAGCUACAACAGCAGGAAAAAAAAAAUGUAUAAAAGCAAUCCCAAAACUACAAAAUUAGCCAGUACAUUUUUGUUCCCAUAUCCAAAAAUACAAGUGAAAAUAACAGAUUUUUUCCUCAUUUUCUUUCCUUAUUGUUGUUGUGAAAAUAAAGAGUAGUAAACAGAAGAAAAUAUUUUAUCAAUAUCAAUACUGAAAGAAAAUUAUUAAUCUGUGAUUUAAGGAAGUUUAAUUAGAAAGUUAUGUAUCUACAGGAUUUUCCAUUCCAAAGCUCUCAUGACAGAUUGUAUAUGAACAGACUAACUGAAUAACUCUACACCAAUAUGUGUUUGAAAUUAAUCGUAGCUAUACUUCAUUUAAGCAACUACAAUAUCCUAAUUGGAGUUUGUAAAUGAAAUAUAAAAUCAAAUACACUGAAAGUUAAUUUAAUAUAUUUUGUUCAAAGAUAUUCAGAUGCAGUACCAGGUCUUUAUAUUAUGACUGCUGAAUGUCCGUUGCCUUUAUAUCUUCCCUGUUAAGCUGUGCAGACAUGCACUGUUUAUUAGUAGUGAUAAUUUCCAGUGUAAUACAGAUGUUUAAAACCAGAUUUAUUUAAUAAAUGGAUAAUGUCCUAAACUAAAUUCCCAGAAGAUUUAAUUAAUUAAUUAAUUAAUUUUUCAAUUUAAUUCCAUGUAGAGUCUCAGAGGGUUAUGUCAGAUAAAGAAUAUUUGAUGGAAUUCAGCCAAGAAGAUACCUGGUUUUGAUACAUUAACCUUGACUCUAAGGGUUGCUAAUUACACUGUACGUAGAGGUAUUAUCUUUACACAAGCAUACUACUAUGUAUCUGUCUUUAGCAGAGAGGCUAUGAGUGAGUAGCUGUCAUUUUUAACUCAGUAUACCAAUAGGUAACAUUAUAUAACUUAUAAACAUGGUUGCAGUCAGAAAGAAAUAGCAGAUGAUUUUGUAAUUAACAUACUGUUGGCUUAAAAUUCAUUCAUCCCAAUCAUAAGGUCAAAUAAAACCAAAAUUUGUCAAGGCUCAAUAAGGAGACAAUAUUAUAUUAAACUUUUGAGGACAUUGUUCACGUUAUUGGAGUAAAUUAAUCAAAUGUAGUUAAAUGGUUCAGUUUUGUUUCUGUUUCCUUCACAAAUAAAUAUUUUUUUUCCUAAAACAAUUUAAAAACAAAGACUUCAGACUAUUCAAGCAAACAAGUUACAUCAAGUGAAGUUGUUUUAUAUUAGGAAGGUUAGCCUCAUACAGGAUUGAAGGAGAUUAUUUUUUUUCAUGACAUUUAUUUAUAAUUCUUUCUUCACCAAACUUGUGUAGUAUUACCGUAUUUCAACAAUUCCCAUCUUCAAAAACUUUCUUACUGAAAGAACUGAAGAAUUUUACAAUGCUGUAUUUUACAAGUUUUCAAGUUCUUUCUGCACACACAACAUUAAACAGUGAAAACAGAUGAAAUUUAUUCUUCUUAGCCUGCUCAUUAAUACUUUGGCCCUCAUUUACAGAGAAGGUAGACCAGUACUCUAGCCUGUGCUGAGGAUGGGGGAGUGAGAUUAAGGCAUAACACUUCAUACUGCCACUCUUCCUCUGUGAUAGAUAAGGGUUAAGUUUGUUAGUCAAAUCGAAAAUCAGUGGUGCUUUCUCAGGUGUCCGGUAAUGUAAAUAGUGUUGUAUGUAAAUGUAAAUAGUGUUGUAAACACGCAAACUAAGAAGCUGCAGGCCCGGGGCACAUAAGCUGCUAGAAAAUAACCAAAGAAUAAUGGAAAAGACUACUGACUUUCACCCCCACAACCAUCAGGAGGCUGGAAAAUGAAUCCCCCAGCAAAAACCUAUGACCCCAGCAACAACCUGUGCGGCCACUGGAAUGUAUGCAGGAGAUAAGAAUUGUAUAUGUGCAAGAAUGACUGGAAUGUAUACAGGAGAUAAGAAUAGUAUAAAUACAGAGCCAAUCCUUUGUUCAAGUUGCAACCCUGGUGGACUGUGGAGUCCCCUCGGCCGCCCAGCACUGUUUUGCUCACUUUACCGCCUUGCUUAAUUAAAUAAAGCUAUCCCUUUAUCAAACUAGACUCUGUCUGGUUUUGUCACGGGCAUCUAUAAGAUCCUCCUUCUAGGAGUUCCUGCAGAUGAGGUUUGUUAGUAUGAGGCAACAUGUCAAGAACUGUUCAAGAGAGUACUUCAGAUUUUUAUUUAAAUCAUUAUGUAGGAAAAGUCCCACUUUUGAGCCCCACUUUUGUCUUCAACACUUGGGAGUUUCCUAUAAGAGUCUCUGGUGGUCGUGCAUUCCCUCCUCCCUUUUCUGAUGUUUGCCAGUCAUGAGUAGCUAAGACAGAAGUGAAGAUAAACAGUCCAUCACUCUGCUUCCGGGGUGAAGAUCCAUAGACCUUACAGCUUCCAACUUGAGUCGUUAAGACUCCAUUCUUCCCUUCUCAGACAGUUAUUAAAGCUAGUUAUUUGAGUUAACAAGUUCCUUAUAGAGUCAUCAAGGCUCCAUUCUGAAAGGUUCCAUUCUGUCUCAGACAAAUAGGUUUUUCUUGGCUAAGUAGUGAAUAAAAAAAGUUAAUGCUAAAAACGUGAAAAUACAAUCUAUUUUCUGCCAACCGAACUGGUCAACUUCUGCAAGUGUCUGAAUAUCAAGGGGUUAUUAAAACCAGUAUGUUUACUUGCAAAAAACAUUGCUUCUUAGUCUGAUUUACCUUCUCUAAUACGAUGGGAUAUUAAACCAACAUACUUCAAGGAGAAGUCAUAACUAGAGGACAUACAUGAGUGCAACUUCUCCGUGGCAUAAUACAUGGUAUCAUUAAGCAUUAAAAUAAUCACCUCAACUGUUGUAUUGAUUCACAGAAGUAAUUAAACAAUUUACAUUCUGAUCACAUAUCCUUAUAAAGACAGCUGCCAAAUUGCUGUAAAAUAUUAUUAAUACUUACAAAGCCAUAGUAGCUUAACUUAAAAACAUCUGCUAUUGAGAUUCUUCACUUCAGCUUUUAAAGUAUCCUGCAAUUAGCUUUAUCUAUGCAGUAUGAUGUUAUUUGUUUGUUUGUUUGUUUUUAGAACUAAUCCCAUAUAUUUCACUGUGUGUAGCCAAAGAAGGCAAUAACAGGGCUUUCUACUGGGAUACAAACAGUUCUGAGUGAGGAGGGAUGGUUUCAGGCUCCAUACCUUCUGGUCUUUGCUUGCACCUGAGUUCUCUGGGUUAGCCAUGAGUUCUCACCUUGUGCUCUGGCACUGUUUCUGGCUGUAACUUGGCAAUUCCACUGCACACUUGAACAGAUUUUCAUGAGAAAUACUAAUUGCAUUAUCUAAGGUUUUUAUGGAGUGUAGCAUUCAACAGAGAAUUUCAAAGCAAAAUUAUAGAAUUACUGGAUUUUGCUAAGAUCAAAAUGUUUCAAUUUCAUCAUUGAUCAGUAUUACAUGUCUUAUAUAAUGUAAAUAGGAUAAAAUAUUUCUAGUAAUGGAAUAUAAUAAAAAUAUUUUAAUUUCAUUAAACAAAAUGUCUCAGUGAUAAGAAAACAAUAUAUCAGUACAUUUAUCUUCUUUUGCUGCAUUUGUGAUUAAUAUGUUUGGUUUCUCUAUAUUUCAGUCAAUUUUCCAAGUUCCAGAAGUUUCUGCACAAAACAGUUUCAAUUUUCUGCUAGAUACUCUUCUCUUUAAAACAUAAGCUUGGCAUAUCCAUCUGGAGUAUAUGCUUUUAUUAGAGAAGAAUGUUUAGUAGGAAAGCUUACUCUAAACAUUGAGAACAACAAAAAGGCAAAAGCAAAAAAAAUCCGUAACUAAUCAAAGCAUUUUUUAUUCUAUCGAGGUUAUCUUAAAUUAAUGUAAAACUAUACUGUACUAUAAUGAUGAUCCAAUGUUGUAUCAGGUGGCUCUGUUACCUUCUGUACUUUGGCACUAUCACACUGAUUGAGUGAUUGUAAUUGUUUUGUUUGUUCAUUUCUUUCUUCAUUUUGGAGGGAAAUUAAUUUUUCAGAUAUGUCAAGCUGAUACCUGGCAGAAGAAAAACAAAAUCAUGUUGCAGAUAUGAUGAGAGUUAUUUUGAUAGCCUUAAAUCAGCUUUAAUUGUAUAUCUUUGUCUUCAGUAUUACUGUUCUGUCAUGCAGAAUUGUUAAUGUGGCAUUUAAUACUUAUUCUUUGUGUGCUCACACUUCCUCUUUACUUAAGUCAAACUAGAAUUGUAAGGCUAUGUUGAAGGAGAGUGUCUGCUCUGCUAAGGUACCUGGUCUAGGACCUCAGCAAGUGCAACAAGAGAUAAUAAGUAAGGAAGGCAGUAAUGGGAAAUUAAUCUGGUCAAACACACUAAUGGAUGACAACAUGGGAGAAGGUAGGAAUAUUUAUUCCAGAAGGAUUAUCUGAUUGAGGACUGGUAAACUGGGAGAAAAUGACUUGAUACAAACCUCUCAAACUUACUAAUUGAUAAGCUCUCAAACUUCAAAAUUCCAUGAAGAUCAGCUUCGACUUGGCAGCUGAUAUAACUGUGAAUCAAAGGAUCCCAACCAGAGAGAACACAGGAAACUGCAGGGCUCUGCAAACCCACAGUAUUUGUACAGGGGGAAGGGGAAGCAAGAGGAUCAAAGAGGGGGUAAGCUAGGAAGGAGGAUAAAAGGACUUGGUAUCAUGUAAAAUGGGACUAGUCAGUAUACUUGGCUGCCCAUUCUCUUCACUAGAUCAUCACUGUCUAUAUUGUCUUCAUAAGUAUAUUCUUGAUUCUGCAAAAGCAGACUUUGACCUCUUUAGGGCCUCUACUUCUUGGUAGACUACUGAGACACUAAAAGGUUAAAUUACAAGAUAGGAUAUGAAGAGAAUAGAAUGAGGUCUAACAUUUGGUCUCACAUAUAUGGGAAAGGAAGUUGCAAAUAGGAUGAAGGCAAACACCUGAUCUCCCACAUACAUGGGAAAGGAUGCUCCAAUGAAUAGAAGGCAGACAAAAACAAGGGAAGCCUUCCUUUGAAUGUAUGGGAAAAUAAAGGGAGUAUCACCAGAUGGUGUGGGUAACAAGCAAUACUUGACGCUUCAAGGACAUCAAGCAUAGAUAAGAAAAUAAGGGAACUGCAAGGUGAGCAGAAAAUGUCUAAAGGGGGGUUCCCCCCAAGAAGGUUAGAAGUUUACAGUGAGGAAGAUUAUGAGCCUUUGUGAGGAAGACCACAAGCCUUCAUCCCACAACCACCAGAAGAAGCCCCCCACACUCUAUGACACAGGCGCGGGGAGGAGGGGGUUGAAUGUAUCCGUAUCCCAGAAAUCUAUUGAAUAUGUAUGAACUUGCCCUAUAUAUGUUAUUACUUUUUCUUAGCAGCGUGCAAGUUAGGAGGAGCUAUCCCCCUUGCACCUGACAUCUGCACAGUGCUGAUUAAACACAUACCUGCUUUUAUAACUACUUUGUGCUUAUAGAGUCUGAUGCCGCACAUCACUACUGUGGAAUAAAACUCUGGAGAGAAGAGAGGGCCAAGUUAAGCUGGUUACUAUUGAAGGAUCACUUACUUCCUCCAAGGUCAAGAGUGAUGUAUCCCAACAAAGUGGAGGCCAGGCAAAAAUGCCAGGAGGUCUGCAUGGAUGAGCGAGAAGGUCAUGGGCAAAUGCAAACACAAAAAGGAAACAUAUGGAAGGUGGAAGCAAAAACAAUAAGCCUGGAAGGAAUACAAAGUGUUCUUAGAGCAUCCAUGGAUGGAGUUAGGAAAGCUAAAGCCCAGAGAAAAAUGAAUCUGGCCAGUGACAUCAAGGACAACAAGAAAGGCUUCUCCAAGUACAUUAGUGACAAAAGACAGACUAGGGAAAAUGUGUGUGUUCUCUGGAAAAAAACUAGGAGAAGACUGAGGUUUUCAAUGCCAUUUUUGCCACGUUUUUUUUUUUUUUUUUUUUUCACCAAAAAGUGUUCUAGCCACACUGCCAAAGUAACAGAAGGCAAAGGCAGGUUGGAAGAAGAACUGCCUACUAUAGGAGAAUGUUUACAUUUCGGUGUAUAGCACAGAGCACCUGGACAACCCAGUCUUCUUGUUCAGCUAUGUUUUCUGAUUUGCUAAAAUGGUUGCUGUGAAAGUAAUGCCUCCUGUUUUACGAUGUUGGCUCACAAUGUCAGAAGCAGAUGAUGUUGAUAUGGCAGUAGAGGUUGAACCUUCCCAACAGUAUUCUAUUACAUGUUGUUGCCACACAACAGAUGACAGCAGAGGGGCAGUCUGACAAAAUGAUAUCUGACAUGAAAGUGCAGAGGAGCGUGACUGAAUUACCCCAUGAGGAAAAAAAAUGUACCCACUGAUGUUCAACAAAGCUUGCAGAAUGUUUCUGGAGAUCAAACAGUGGAUGUGGGCACAGUGAGGUGAUGGGUGGUGUGUUUCAACAGUGGUAACAGUGACACGAAAGACAAGCCCUGUUCCAGACAGCCAUGCAGAAUUUUAUGAAGGCAUCAUGCAAGCUCUUGUUCAUCGCUGAUGAAAAUGUAUAACUAAUGAUCUUGACUAUGAUGAAAAACAGUGUUUUGUAGCUGGGAAAUUGCUCUAUCAAAUAGUGUUACUGUGCUCUUUUUAUCUGUUGUAGCUUCCAUGGAAAUAAAAAAUCAGCAUUACUUUCAAAGUGACUUACUGUCAGUGGUUUACAGGCUGGUUUGGCCUGGUUCUGUGACUAGUGGGAGGAGGGAUCCACAAAUCCGCACCUCCGGAAAGGGUUGACAGGGGACCCUGAAAAAUUAAAAGCAGCAGCAACAAUCUGAGGAGAAACAAACUAAUUUACUAAAUACAGUAUCAGGAUGCAAGAUAACACUCUAUAAAACAGUAUAAUUAGAAUUGAAGCCAAUAAAUCAAAUAUAAUGAGAAACAGUGUCCAAAAGGUGGAAAGGCCUCACCAUAAUGCUGAAGUGAGGAGCACGGUUGGAUCAAGCAGCAGGGAGAAGAGCCAAAAAAAGGGCAGGUCAGGUGAUCUACGAAAGCUUAUAUCCCCUCUCUAAAUGCAGAGUCCUCUGUGGUAUGUAGUUCUUCUCUUUUGGACAGGUGCCUGGAACUGGAGCAUUGACUCUUUAACUCCCAGUUUACUACAUGAUGUUAUGGUGUGGAAUAUCAAUAACCAAAAAUCAUAAAACCAUGACAUCUAUGUAUUUCACAUCUCUCAUCUGCGAUGUGCACCUGCAAUUCUUUCCUGCCAAAGUUAGAGCAGUGAGGACCCAUGUGAAUGUCCAUCCUGAAGUCUUACUUUUGCAAUAAUUUAGAGUAGCAGAAGUGGUUUGUAUUCAUAUGCUUGGUAUCUUGAGAUUACUUAGUGGAAAUGUUGUCUAGGAUGACACCAUUAAUAUAAAAAUAUAAAAACACAAGAGAAAUAUUCUAGAUUUCUGACAUGAACAGGAAGAAGCUUUGCUAUGAUAAUUUUUUUUGGUCAGAGAAAAUAAGUAAAUGAAUAAAUUCUGAGUGGAAUGAUGAAAAAAAGGAACAUUUGAGAUUUUUUAAAGUUGUUUUUAAAUACAAAAGCCAUGGAUUCUGGAAAGCUGUAAAGAAUGUUGUAAAUGGAAGUCUGAUACUAAUUUUUGUUUGAGGAAUUUAGAACUAGCAUGGCACAUGAAGAUGUCUUCAGUUCCAAUGGAAGCUGAGUAUAGAUAUAACAGACUAGACAAAGUUGAUCAGAUAGCACACCAAUACCCACCCAUCCAUCUCCAGUUUCAUAUUUCCUGAUAGGAUUUCUGUGUUCAAAUGCCAAUCUGAAGGCAUUUUGUAUGUCAGCUAUUUGUAAAUAGUCCUUCCUUACUUAAAAAGUGGUUUCCAGUGCCUGUGUUGUGUUAAUACACUGGAUUCACGCCCAUUCAAAUCCUCAUGCAUAUUUAUUACAUGAUGAGUUUUUAUUGUCGAUUAGAAGUGACAAGAACAGGCUCUCUGACUAAAAAAAAAAAGUGCUAUGCAUACAUUUACAUAUAUAUGCCUUUUUGAAAUGGGACAGUAAGCUACCAAUAGGGUUCCUGUGCUAUAUAUACUUAUCUCCUAACAAUGUUAACCUGCUUAUUAUUGUUAACAUGCCCUUAAAAAAACUCUCAUAUUCAUAGUUUCCCAAUUCCAAGCACUAGACCGUAUGCACUGCACAAGAAUUCUGCUCAGCAGUCAGCGUCCAAUCUAUCUGUCAAGGAUAUGGAUAUCCAUGGUGAUUGUGUCCAGAUAUUAGGAUGCACCCUUUCCAAUGAUGUGGAAGAUGGCAAGACUGUUAACAAGUUCUUUUCAUGUCUUCUGGGUUAGUGACCAUAUACAUAUUUCAAAUAUUUUUUUUUCUACCAUUUUGGAUCUAGCAUUUUCUCCAUUCUUGUCCAUCUUUGUGAACUAGCACCUUUUUUUUGUCUCAUAAUAUGAGUGUUACAUAAAACUGCAGGUAGAUAUGCUGGAGUUUGAAUGACCUACUGUCUAGAUGAUAGCGGGCACUGAGUCUUCUUUCCUUGCUACAUGUUUCGGCUGCUGCCUCCACACCCAGGUGAUCUCAUUUGUUCUCCAUCACAUAAAUCUUAGCCUUCCUGAUGCAAUUCUUUACAACUUUAUAGCACUCCAUUGACUUUCAAUUUGAAACAUCUUUGCUGAGAGCUAUAUGACUUCUUCUGCUCCUAACAACAUUGCCAGGUCUCUGUGUGAUUGGGGAAAAUUCCUGUAAUUGAAAGAUGAAUAACUGGAUUGAAGGCUCUCAAAGGACUAAAAUUGACUUUUUUUGUGCCAAAAAUAGUAGGAGGACAGCUCCACAAGUUAAUGCAUUGUAGCUGCACCAUUACAAGAGAUCCACUUGGUUUUCUCUAGAGUGCCUCAUAUAAUCUACAUAGAAAAUAUGCCACUUGAAUGAGAAGCAAAAGGGAAAUAGGAAGUCAUUUGCAAUGGCAGUGUAGAUGCACUCAUAACAUAUAUCUAGAUUUAUCUGCUGAUGUAAGUUACAUGAUGAAUUGAAGGAUCUCAAGACCUCCAAAUGAAAAAUGUCUUUGAGCACUUUCUAGUCCUUUGCAAGAUAUAUGAAAGAGAGGGUUAAGUACUAGCCAUAUGUCUCGCUCCAAUUUAUAGGAGGGAGAGGAGGUUCUUUGAUAUACAUAUACCCAUUGUGAGAUUAAGAAACAAUGGUUCACAU
ensembl:lncRNA